rnacentral:rRNA from 1 species
ACGAAGGGUGCGAGCGUUAUUCGGAUUGAUUGGGCGUAAAGGGUGCGCAGGCGGAAUGUUAAGUCAACUGUUAAAUUUCCCGGCUUAACCGGGAGUCAGCGGUAGAUACUGGCGUUCUUGAGGAUGGAAGAGAGAAGUGGAAUUCUCGGAGUAGCGGUAAAAUGCGUAGAUCUCGAGAGGAACACCGAUGGCGAAGGCAGCUUCUUGGUCCAUUUCUGACGCUCAUGCACGAAAGCGUGGGGAGCAAACAGG